CUCUCUACUCGCGACUUGACUUUUUUCAGUGCUCCUUAAAUAAGAUCCUCACGUUAACUUUUUUCUGGAAGACAGCUUUACAAGAAUCUAGACGGACCAAAUUCCAGGCUCCAGAACAUUCCAGCAACCAGGUACAGACAAUUGUGGAAGGACUGUUCCUGGCCAUUCUGCCUAAGCUUAGCAGACCAUACAUUCUACAGGAGCUGAGAACUGAUAAGUCUCUUCUUCACCGUGAUUUGAAACUUUCCAGUCUCAGAAAAGUUGACCAAGGGACUGCACAGGACUGAGUCCAUAUGGAAGAAGAAGUACCUGGUUUCUAUGGAGAAAGUGGCAAGAAGGAAAACAAAUUAAGCAGACCUCAUAGAAAAUAAGAUUCCUUCAUGAUAUGAGGAGUCAGUACAGGCUACCCUGUCGUCGUUGAAGAUGUUAGAUGUGGGAAAGUGGCCAAUCUUCUCCCUUUGUUCUGAGGAAGAGCUGCAGUUGAUUCGCCAGGCUUGUGUCUUCGGCACGGCUGGCAAUGAAGUUUUAUACACUACGGUCAACGAUGAGAUUUUUGUUCUUGGCACAAACUGCAGUGGCUGUCUGGGGGUAGGUGACAUUCAGAGCACUAUUGAGCCUCGGAGACUGGAUUCUUUAACUGGCAAAAAAAUAGCCAGCCUCAGCUAUGGGAGUGGCCCACAUAUCGUCCUUGCAACCACAG
rnacentral:lncRNA from 1 species